GCCCCCGUACUCCAAUUGGCAGAGAGGGCGGACUUAAAAUCCGCACAGUGUGGGUUCGAAUCCCACCGGGGGCA
rnacentral:tRNA from 1 species